AGUUUCAGGACACUAUUCUCUCCUGAAAUACUGGAUUAAACAUUGGAAUAGCAGUUGUUCCAGUAUUUGAGGGGCUGCCACAAAGAUGAGGGGGGUCAACUUAUUUCCAAAGCACCAGAAGGAAUGAUUGAUUGAAAGAAAGAGUAGAAGAAGAGGACAACCAGCCACAAGGUGUACAGGCUCAAUUAAGCAGCAAUGGUACACUCCUGGAAUAUCUGAAGGACAAAGAUGGAUCAGAGUCUCCUGAAGAAAAUAAAUUUGUGGGCAGAGAAUUGGGACGAAUAAACAAAGAAGGCCUGAAUGAAUUGCAAUAUGAAAUGGGAAGCACUUAGAGGUGAAGCCGUGAAGAAGAAGUGAAAUGGACAGGAAAAGAAAUGAUUCGCAGCAGUGUUACAGAUAUGCCUAACAUUGUUGUGGUCCGCCAGCAGCAUGCGGAGCUGGCAGCGGAGUCGGACAGCGAUGAGGCUGAGGAAGAACAUGGGCCAGUCCUGGAGGCUGGGGAAGGCCCGGAUGAGGGCUCUGCGUCGGAGGCAGAGAUGGGGCAGGGCCAUUGGGGAGUGAUGCGUGGACUUCAGAGCCUCCAGAGGCUGACAGUAGAGAGGCAGAGGAACAGGAGGAGCCUGUUCCUAGUGCACACAUGAGAAGAGCUGCCAGAAGACAGGAGCAGAUAAAGCAGAGAGGAUGACUCGGGAGUAGGGCCAAGAGAUGAUUGGCCCCUCCCAUAAGGCUUAAAAGGCCAGCAACGGCUCUUGGCCUCUUUGCCGGAAAACAACCAUUGAGAGAUUUGCUUCUUGUUUGGCUGUAGUAAUUUCUUCUGUUCCUGAACUGUUGCCAAGAAAAGCCUUUGGCAGUUUGCCUAAUUAUCCCAAAGUCAGAGAUAAACUAAAGACUGGUGUUUUAAGGAUGUUGCUUUCAUUUCAUUUAGAAUGCACUGAGAAUGAGUUAAUUCUCAGCUGUUUUAAUAAAAUCUGUUUGUUUCU